rnacentral:rRNA from 1 species
GCUUACGGCCACACCACCCUGAGCGCCGCCCGAUCCUCCGUCUGAUCUCGGAAGCUAAGCAGGGUCGGGCCUGGUUAGUACUUGGAUGGGAGACCCGCCUGGGAAUACCAGGUGCCGUAAGCU